CUGAUUCAAUCUUCUUACUCAUUACAGAUCUAUUCAGAUUUUCUAUUUCUUUGGGACUUAGUCUUGGUAGAUAGUGUGUUUCUUGGAAUGUGUCCAAUUCUCAGUGCUUUCCUAUAGAGCAAGAUAUGAUAUAGGCCUGGCUUUCCAGCUGUGAGCUUGGGCAAGCCACAUAGUCGGUUCUCUCGGGGCAUCUGUGUGUAGCAUGAGCUCCCACCCCACCUGCUGCUUCAUGGGGGCUGUAGGGGAGAAUGCGAGGGUCC
rnacentral:lncRNA from 10 species